CAAAUUUACGUAUCAACUUGACUUGUAAGUUUUGUGCCGGACUUGGCCGAGUCAGCCACUUGACAGUUUUUUUAGAACAUCCCAAUCUUACCGGACCUUCACAUUUCGUGCGAGAGUCACUCAAAAUUCAACUCCCAAUUCCUUGAUGUCAAAUUCCGUCCCUUCUUCUCCGUCAUCCUCCUCCUCAAUGGCCUCCCAUGCUGCAAUCAUGCAAUCGUUCUCAUGCACUUCUCCUUCAACGGAUUCAUUGGAAUCUACCUCCCACUUCGUUCCUGUUCCAUCAACAUCUCCCCGUCCCAUAGAAACAUUCACACAUUCGCUGACUCGGCCCCUCCAAUUCCAAAAAGGUCCAUUUCUGAAUCUCAGCCAUUACCUGCUAUUUCCUUCACCCCUCAACUUCGAUCAACAUCUCCUACAACCAAAAAGUUGGUACAUCGGAAGAAAAGGAAGGUCGAUGAAAUUGAGCACUUAUUCGAAGAUGGCGAUUUCAAGAACCUUAAGAAAAAAAAAGAUGGAACUGGAGAUGGAACUAAUCAAACAGCAAAUCAAGCUAAUGCAAGCACAAACCGCCUAUUAUGUGAAUUUGGCAAAUUCGACGUCCAAUCCAAUUAAGGAACUCACAUAAUGAUGACAAAAGGAAGUUCAGAAUAUUUUCCAAUACGUAAU